rnacentral:rRNA from 1 species
GACGAACGCUGGCGGCGUGCCUAAUACAUGCAAGUCGAACGCAUUUUCUUCCAACUUAGUUUUCUACCGCUAAAGACAGUGAGUGGCGUAACGGUUAGUAACCCGUCGUUAACCUGCCCAUCAGCUGGGGGAAACACUUGCAAAUAGGUGCUAAUAUCUCAUAAUUCCUUUUACCGUAUUGUAGAACGAUUUUAGUGUCUUUUGUAUCACUAUUCGCUCGGCCUGCGGUGCAUUAGCUAGUUGGGGAGGUAACGGCCUACCAAGGCUGCGAUGCCUAAGCGACCUGGGAGGGUGGACGGCCACACUGGGACUGAGACACGGCCCAGGAUCCUACGGGAGGGAGCAGUAGGGAAACUUCGGCAAUGGACGGAAGUCUGAACGAGCAACGCCGGGUGAGGGAAGAAGGUUUUCGGAAUGGAAAAAUCUGUUGUUAGGGGAGAACAAGAAGGAGAGGGGAAAGUGCACGCCUUGACGGUAUCUAACCAGAAAGCCACGGCUAACUACGUG